UUGAACGCUGGCGGCAGGCCUAACACAUGCAAGUCGAACGGUAACAGGAAGAAGCUUGCUUCUUUGCUGACGAGUGGCGGACGGGUGAGUAAUGUCUGGGAAACUGCCUGAUGGAGGGGGAUAACUACUGGAAACGGUAGCUAAUACCGCAUAACGUCGCAAGACCAAAGAGGGGGACCUUCGGGCCUCUUGCCAUCGGAUGUGCCCAGAUGGGAUUAGCUAGUAGGUGGGGUAACGGCUCACCUAGGCGACGAUCCCUAGCUGGUCUGAGAGGAUGACCAGCCACACUGGAACUGAGACACGGUCCAGACUCCUACGGGAGGCAGCAGUGGGGAAUAUUGCACAAUGGGCGCAAGCCUGAUGCAGCCAUGCCGCGUGUAUGAAGAAGGCCUUCGGGUUGUAAAGUACUUUCAGCGGGGAGGAAGGGAGUAAAGUUAAUACCUUUGCUCAUUGACGUUACCCGCAGAAGAAGCACCGGCUAACUCCGUGCCAGCAGCCGCGGUAAUACGGAGGGUGCAAGCGUUAAUCGGAAUUACUGGGCGUAAAGCGCACGCAGGCGGUUUGUUAAGUCAGAUGUGAAAUCCCCGGGCUCAACCUGGGAACUGCAUCUGAUACUGGCAAGCUUGAGUCUCGUAGAGGGGGGUAGAAUUCCAGGUGUAGCGGUGAAAUGCGUAGAGAUCUGGAGGAAUACCGGUGGCGAAGGCGGCCCCCUGGACGAAGACUGACGCUCAGGUGCGAAAGCGUGGGGAGCAAACAGGAUUAGAUACCCUGGUAGUCCACGCCGUAAACGAUGUCGACUUGGAGGUUGUGCCCUUGAGGCGUGGCUUCCGGAGCUAACGCGUUAAGUCGACCGCCUGGGGAGUACGGCCGCAAGGUUAAAACUCAAAUGAAUUGACGGGGGCCCGCACAAGCGGUGGAGCAUGUGGUUUAAUUCGAUGCAACGCGAAGAACCUUACCUGGUCUUGACAUCCACGGAAGUUUUCAGAGAUGAGAAUGUGCCUUCGGGAACCGUGAGACAGGUGCUGCAUGGCUGUCGUCAGCUCGUGUUGUGAAAUGUUGGGUUAAGUCCCGCAACGAGCGCAACCCUUAUCCUUUGUUGCCAGCGGUCCGGCCGGGAACUCAAAGGAGACUGCCAGUGAUAAACUGGAGGAAGGUGGGGAUGACGUCAAAUCAUCAUGCCCUUUAUGACUUGGGCUACACACGUACUACAAUGGCUGUAACAGAGGGAAGCAACAUAGAGAUGUGAAGCAAAUCCCAAAAAGCAGUCUCAGUUCGGAUUGAAGGCUGAAAUUCGCCUUCAUGAAGCCGGAAUUGCUAGUAAUGGCAGGUCAGCAUACUGCCGUGAAUACGUUCCCGGGCCUUGUACACACCGCCCGUCACACCAUGAGAGUUGGGGAUACCCGAAGCCUGUGAGCCAACAUAUCUAUGAGGCAGCAGUCGAAGGUAGAAUCAAUGAUUGGGGUG
rnacentral:rRNA from 1 species